CAGUGAGGUAGAGUCUAGGCAAGAAUUAUGCAUGUUGGCAUUUUCCCAUAACUCUUCCUCUCACACAAAUAAAACAGAAAAGGUUUGUGUCUAUGUUACCUGGACAAAGGUUCAUCAAAUGCAGAUAACAUAUAUGCAGUGAACAUUAAGCAUCUUAUGUUGACACAGCUCAGCUUUUCUAGUAUAUAUGUGUAAAAGAGAAAGCACGUAGUGGUAGAAAACAAUGCACAUAACAAAUAUGUUAAAGAUUUGACUUUGAUUCAAUCUCCCAAGAAAUCUGGUUAUAUUAUUAUGAAUACUAAAUACCAUAGCUACUGUAAUUUCAUCUUUUCUUUUUUCAUGAUGGUAUUUACCGAAGGAACGAAGCCAAUGUGUCCUGAAAGGAGCAGAUUUAUCACCAACCAGAGGAGGCAUUCCUCAGGAAAAAAACAGAGCUGCAAUGCUCAGUUUUUGCACGCAGAGAUGCUUCCUGAGAAGGUGGUCUUCCACACAUAAAGGCAAGUAUGCAUUAGCAAUAAAUGUGCAAUGCUUUUUCCACUGUUACCAUUUUAAAUAACCAGUAUUUGGAGACUGUUACCUUAGCAUGGCCUAGACUAAUCAUUGUACAGACAUACAUACUACAUUUGGCAUAAACUUUAAAAAUGUAAAAUCUGGACAAUGGACUAA